rnacentral:rRNA from 1 species
AGCUUGCUUCUCUUGAGAGCGGCGGACGGGUGAGUAAUGCCUAGGAAUCUGCCUAGUGGUGGGGGAUAACGUUCGGAAACGGACGCUAAUACCGCAUACGUCCUACGGGAGAAAGCGGGGGAUCUUCGGACCUCGCGCCAUUAGAUGAGCCUAGGUCGGAUUAGCUAGUUGGUGAGGUAAUGGCUCACCAAGGCGACGAUCCGUAACUGGUCUGAGAGGAUGAUCAGUCACACUGGAACUGAGACACGGUCCAGACUCCUACGGGAGGCAGCAGUGGGGAAUAUUGGACAAUGGGCGAAAGCCUGAUCCAGCCAUGCCGCGUGUGUGAAGAAGGUCUUCGGAUUGUAAAGCACUUUAAGUUGGGAGGAAGGGUAGUAACCUAAUACGUUGCUACUUUGACGUUACCGACAGAAUAAGCACCGGCUAACUUCGUGCCAGCAGCCGCGGUAAUACGAAGGGUGCAAGCGUUAAUCGGAAUUACUGGGCGUAAAGCGCGCGUAGGUGGUUCAGUAAGUUGGAAGUGAAAUCCCCGGGCUCAACCUGGGAACUGCUUUCAAAACUGCUGAGCUAGAGUACGGUAGAGGGUGGUGGAAUUUCCUGUGUAGCGGUGAAAUGCGUAGAUAUAGGAAGGAACACCAGUGGCGAAGGCGACCACCUGGACUGAUACUGACACUGAGGUGCGAAAGCGUGGGGAGCAAACAGGAUUAGAUACCCUGGUAGUCCACGCCGUAAACGAUGUC